ensembl:lncRNA
AUGAAGGUUCGUUAUGGCCAGAAAAGUGUUUCUCGUAAAUUUCAGUCUGGAGAUUCUGUGAUGGUUCUACUCACUGUGCCAGGGUCCGCGUUGCAAACUAAGUUUGUUGGACCUUACAUUGUUGAUAGGCAGCUAAGUGAAACUAAUUAUGUGAUCCGAACUCCUGAUCGGAGACGAAAGACUCGGGUGUGUCAUGUCAAUAUGUUGAAGGCCUAUGUUGCCAGGAAUGAGUCAAAGUCAUCUAAGUCUGCACCUGUUGUUUCUCCUGCUGAUAUUGUUCAUCCUGUUAUGUCUCUUGCUUACUGCCCUGAGCAAGAUGGGUUGGAAGUAAAUGAUGCUCAGAUGUCAUGUAUUGGCCUGAAGAAUUCUGAUGUUUUAAAUAACCUUGAGUUUCAUCUUGCACACCUUUCUAAGGAGCAAAGUAGGGAUGUUGUUAAGCUACUUGGGGAACAUCCCACUUUAUUUUCAGAUGUACCACAACAAACCACCGUGUUAACUCACGAUAUUGAUGUGGGAACUGCUGUACCUAUUAAGCAACAUCCUUACAGGGUUAACCCCAAGAAGAGAGAAGUUAUGCGGAUGGAGGUGGAGUAUCUGUUGCACUAUGGAUUGGCGGAACCUAGCAAGAGUCCCUGGAGUUCUCCUUGUUUGUUGGCGCCAAAGGCAGAUUCUUCAUUGCGGUUUUGUACGGAUUACCAUAAGGUAAAUGCCAUCACUAAGCCUGACUCUUUCCCCUUACCAAGGUUAGAGGAUUGUGUUGACCGGGUGGGUUCAUCGCAGUUUGUCACCAAGUUGGAUCUCCUCAAAGGUUACUGGCAAGUUCAUUUGACGGCUCGAGCAUCAGAGAUUUCUGCCUUUGUGACCCCUGACAACUUUCUGCAAUAUAAGGUCAUGGCCUUUGGGAUGCGAAACGCACCAGCUACAUUUCAGAGGCUUAUGCAGGAAGUAUUGUCCGGGAUUACUGAUUGUGAGGCCUACUUGGAUGAUAUUGUUAUCUUUUCACCUACGUGGAGGGAUCAUGUGGAAAAGUUGAACUGUGUUUGA